GGGCAGGUACCAAAGCGGUCAACUGGGCCAGACUGUAAAUCUGGUGGCUCACGCCUUCAGAGGUUCGAAUCCUCUCCUGCCCA
rnacentral:tRNA from 1 species